rnacentral:lncRNA from 1 species
GUGGUGGGCCAAGCUGGUGGGGAGAAGUGUGUGGACCCCAGGUGCACAGUGGAGACCCAACUUUUGGGAGCUGCUCAUUGAAAAUUGAAGAAUCAGUUCCAGAGAGAUCUCCUGGAGGGCCUAGGAUCACAGAGCAAAGCAGAAACCACAGCUGUCUCGGAGGACGAAACUCCAGCUCUUCACCCAGAGAUAGUCGUGGGCUGGUGGCUUCAGGGCCCACUAGGGCCUUUGUUAUGAGUUUUCUCUUCCCAGCGGUCCUUUUAUUGCAUAAUCAAUAAACCACUGACAGAAAUAAAAGGCUUCCAGAUAUAUACGCUGCUGAUUCCCUGCCUGGAAAACCUUCCCCUCUGCCCUCCUUAAAACCUCAUGGCUUCUUAUUGCACAUUGCACCCGGGGGGGGGAUAUCC